rnacentral:rRNA from 1 species
UACGUAGGUGGCAAGCGUUGUCCGGAAUUAUUGGGCGUAAAGCGCGCGCAGGUGGUCCUUUAAGUCUGAUGUGAAAGCCCACGGCUCAACCGUGGAGGGUCAUUGGAAACUGGGGGACUUGAGUACAGAAGAGGAAAGUGGAAUUCCACGUGUAGCGGUGAAAUGCGUAGAUAUCGGGAGGAACACCUGAGGCGAAGGCGGGCUACUGGGCCGAUACUGACGCUGAUGCGCGAAAGCCAGGGGAGCAAACGGG